GAACUCUUCCCCCCUCUUCUCCUCUAUCUCUCUCGCUCAAUCUCGGCCGCUGGAAAGGCACAGCAAGCGCAACCACGCCGCCGCUCCGUCGCCUCCGCCUCUCCUCCAUGGCAGAUCCGCCGCCGCCGUUCAACGCCACGGAUGUUCACGGCCAUCGCCUGGCCGUGGAAGAGCACGGCCGCCGCCUGCCCGCCCUGAUUCUCUCUCUCGGUUUCUAGAUCUCUAGAUCGGAACAGGGCAUGCGCCCUCUCUGCCGGAGUCCAAGCCAGGCCGCCGUCUCUUCGUCCUCCAUCGCUGCCGUUCGUCGUCGGAUUCGCUGUGAGGAGCCGAGCACCGUCUCACAAAGAUCGGAGACAACGGCAGGUUCACCGCCGCCGCUCCGUCGCCGGCGACGAGCCACCGCGGCUGCCGCCUCCCUCUGAUUUCGACUCACACACACAGUAGGUUCAAGCCACAAUUUAGUUCACAAAAUAGCAUAGGAUUUUGAGCAGAAAUCAAAUACUGUAAAUGCUUAUUGAAAUCUGAAAUUCUUUUCUUGAAACUGAACUAGUCUAUAAAUUUCAGUUCAUAUGUGCAUA